CUGCAGUGAUGAUAUGUAGAUGUGACUGACCUAGAAUUGCUGGUCUCUGGAUCAGUUCUGUCUAGGAAAUGACAUUUGUUAAUCUUCUCUCUGAGCAG
ensembl:snoRNA